rnacentral:rRNA from 1 species
GACGAACGCUGGCGGCGUGCUUAACACAUGCAAGUCGAACGGAAAGGCCCUGCUUUUGUGGGAUGCUCGAGUGGCGAACGGGUGAGUAACACGUGAGUAACCUGCCCUUGACUUUGGGAUAACUUCAGGAAACUGGGGCUAAUACCGGAUAUGAGCUCCUGCUGCAUGGUGUGGGUUGGAAAGUUUCGGCGGUUGGGGAUUGAUUGGCGGGUUAUCAGCUUGUUGGUUGGGUAGUGGCUUACCAAGGCUUUGACGGGUAGCCGGCCUGGGAGGGUGACCGGCCACAUUGGGACUGAGAUACGGCCCAGACGCCAACGGGAGGCAGCAGUGGGGAAUAUUGCACAAUGGGCGGAAGCCUGAUGCGGCAACGCCGCGUGCGGGAUGACGGCCUUCGGGUUGUAAACCGCUUUCGCAUGUGACGAAGCGUGAGGGACGGUAAUGGGUAAAGAAGCACCGGCUAAAUACGUGC